rnacentral:rRNA from 1 species
AGAGCGAACGCUGGCGGCAGGCCUAAUACAUGCAAGUCGAACGGACCCUUCGGGGUUAGUGGCGGACGGGUGAGUAACACGUGGGAACGUGCCCUUUGGUUCGGAACAACUCAGGGAAACUUGAGCUAAUACCGGAUGUGCCCUUCGGGGGAAAGAUUUAUCGCCAUUGGAGCGGCCCGCGUCUGAUUAGCUAGUUGGUGGGGUAAAGGCCUACCAAGGCUACGAUCAGUAGCUGGUCUGAGAGGAUGAUCAGCCACACUGGGACUGAGACACGGCCCAGACUCCUACGGGAGGCAGCAGUAGGGAAUCUUGCGCAAUGGGCGAAAGCCUGACGCAGCCAUGCCGCGUGAAUGAUGAAGGUCUUAGGAUUGUAAAAUUCUUUCAGCGGGACGAUAAUGACGGUACCCGCAGAAGAAGCCCGGCUAACUUCGUGCCAGCAGCCGC